GAUGAACGCUAGCGGCAGGCUUAAUACAUGCAAGUCGAGGGACAGCACAGGUAGCAAUACUGGGUGGUAACCGGCAAACAGGUGCGGAACACGUACACAACCUUCCUUUAAGUGGGGGAUAGCCCAGAGAAAUUUGGAUUAAUACCCCGUAAUAUAGUUGAAUGGCAUCAUUUGAUUAUUAUAGCUACGGCGCUUAAUGAUGGGUGUGCGGCUGAUUAGAUAGUUGGCGGGGUAACGGCCCACCAAGUCUACGAUCAGUAGCUGAUGUGAGAGAAUGAUCAGCCACACGGGCACUGAGACACGGGCCCGACUCCUACGGGAGGCAGCAGUAAGGAAUAUUGGUCAAUGGACGCAAGUCUGAACCAGCCAUGCCGCGUGAAGGAUUAAGGUCCUCUGGAUUGUAAACUUCUUUUAUUUGGGACGAAAAAGGGCCUUUCUAGGUCAACUGACGGUACCAGAUGAAUAAGCACCGGCUAACUCCGUGCCAGCAGCCGCAGUAACAC
rnacentral:rRNA from 1 species